GCCUACACGAAGCUGGAAUCGCUAGUAAUCGCGGAUCAGCACGCCGCGGUGAAUACGUUCCCGGGCCUUGUACACACCGCCCGUCACACCAUGAGAGUCUGUAACACCCAAAGCCGGUGGGAUAACCUUUAUAGGAGUCAGCCGUCUAAGGUAGGACAGAUGAUUAGGGUGAAGUCGUAACAAGGUACC
rnacentral:rRNA from 1 species